rnacentral:tRNA from 1 species
CAAAAUGUAGCUUAAUUAAAGCGCCUCGCUUACACCGAGUUGAUAUCAGUGAAACCCAGAUCAUUUUGA